AUUGAACGCUGGCGGCAGGCCUAACACAUGCAAGUCGAACGGAGCGGCGGUCGGGUGAGUAAUGCCUAGGAAUCUGCCUGGUAGUGGUGGAUAGCGGCCGGAAACGGGCGCUAAUACCUAAUACUAUCAGAUGAGACUAGGUCGGAUUAGGUAGGGGGUGGGGUAAAGGCCUAACAAGGCUACGGUCCGUAACUGGUCUGAGAGGAUGAUCAGUCACACUGGAACUGAGACACGGUCCAGACUCCUACGGGAGGCAGCAGUGGGGAAUAUUGGACAAGGGGCGAAAGCCUGAUCCAGCCAUGCCGCGUGUGUGAAGAAGGUCUUCGGAUUGUAAAGCACUUUAAGUUGGGAGGCGUUACCAACAGAAUAAGCACCGGCUAACUUCGUGCCAGCAGCCGCGGUAUAC
rnacentral:rRNA from 1 species